UACAGAGGUCCCGAGCGUUGUUCGGAUUCACUGGGCGUAAAGCGUGCGCAGGCGGUUUUGUAAGUCUGACGUGAAAUCCCCGGGCUUAACCUGGGAAUUGCGUUGGAGACUGCAAGGCUGGAGUCUGGCAGAGGGGGGUAGAAUUCCACGUGUAGCAGUGAAAUGCGUAGAGAUGUGGAGGAACACCGAUGGCGAAGGCAGCCCCCUGGGUCAAGACUGACGCUCAUGCACGAAAGCGUGGGGAGCAAACAGG
rnacentral:rRNA from 1 species